rnacentral:lncRNA from 1 species
GCGGGGGCACUGGCAGUAGGGGACGAGAGCUGAGGAGGUGCAGCAGUCCUUUGGUUUUGUAACGUCGGUCCCAAACAUUUUACCAGCGCUCCUUGGGCCAGCCGCUGGGGAGCCAGAGCUUCCCUAGCCCAGCCAUAGAGCGGCUGCGUGUCCGGGGAACCGACCACUGCAAACCCAGCGCCGUUGUUACAGCUUUCAGGAUGUCAGAACGCCGAGGGGUCCAGAGAGGGCGCCCGCACUCCUGCAGCCUCCGGUUUUCAUCUCUGGACGAUGUGAUACUACCUGCUCCCACCUCUGCAGACCCUGGAAGUCACAGUGACCAGAAGUGCAGAGGGAAAGGAGUCAGAAAGGUGAGCCCUUUCCAACACCAUACCCACAAAGCUCACACAUUCAAGUGCAGACUCAGACUCAGAAAGUUGGGCGGGUACCGCGAAGAUGCACACAUAGAGCCACUAUUGAUUCACGGAGGUGCUCUCACCUCCGUUUUACACCUGGCCAAACGGAGCCUCAAAGAGGUGGUGACUUCCUCAAGCUCGAGGACCUAAUAAGAGGCAGAGCCAUGUUCCAAGCCCAAAGAGGCUGGCUUCACAGGUAUUUAACCAUCAGUGUAUGCCUGUCCUCCUCAGUAGCCUAUAGUAGAUGAAUAACAGUGGUGCACACUAAGUGCUCAGUAAAUGUCAUCUGUCACUAGGGUCAUUGUUCUGAUUUUACAGGUAAGACUGAGGUGGAGAGAAGCCAAAUAACUGAUCCGAGUCAAAGCCAGAGCCCCAGAUCCAGGAAUACCUUUACAGACACCCCAUCCUCCCCCCAUGUCCACAAACACUUCUUUUUAGGGGAGCCAAAGCUUGGAGCUCAGAUGCGAGGGCGAUGUGUUCGGGCAUGACCUGAGCAGAGAGGACUUGGCAGGGAGCCCAUCAGUCCCCACCCUGAGUUGUGAGGCUCUGGGCUCAGAUCUCUGAUGCUCUGUGGUAGCUAGGAGGUCUGCAUCCUGAGCUGGCUCUACCAGGCUGUGCUGUGUGUCCCUGGGUGAUCCCUCAAUCUCUGUGUUCUGCAAACUCCACCUGGGAAGGCUGUUGGGCCCUGUGUCUGGAGGAGGACUUGAGGGGUCCUAGAAGAAAGGAGUGGGGUGCUUUCUGACCCUGAGGGAGGAAUGGAAGCAGCCAGCUGUCCAAGCUCUUGGCUGGCGGGGGGGAGGGGGUCCCCUCCCCACUUCUUCCUGCCAAAGUGGAAUCCCUCGCAUCUCAAGAGGAGGCUUGGGGGUGGAAGCUGGAAAGUAACAUCCAGUGUUACACUAGGCACUAGGAGGCACUAGGAUUUGAAUCCUCUGCUGCUUAUCCACCUUUGAGCCUCCAUGGUCUACUCUUGCCUUUGGACAUCUGUGCUUUUGACCAUUGAGCAACCUUUGCGGACUCUGCUUUGGCAUUUGUAUUGGUUCUGGUGUGAGAUUAGAAUGUGAUCGCAGGUUUGCCCCUUGAUGGCUGAGGCAUAUCCCCUCACCCAUUUCCUCAUCUGCAAAACGCUGGCACCUAGCUCUUAGGUCAUUGGGAGGACCAGUGAAAAGAUGACUAGGAUGGGACUUGCUUAGACUGUGCAGGAGACCCUAGAACUCGAAUUUCUCCACAGAACCUCACUGCAGAUGCUUGGGUCAAGAGUGAGCCGCUCCCACCUGUGGCUUCUGGAGCCCACUGGGCCACACUUCCCCAGAUCUGAGGCAAGGAGAGGCACUUCCUGAGCCACUGUCCUCAGCUGUGAGAUGAAAACACAACCUGUCUUCAAGCGGGCAGGGGUGGAGUUGGGUGGAGUGAUGAGAAUGAGGCACACAGGUGUGCAGGCCACAUCGCCACAUUGGGAUUCCAGAGCAGAGGACCUGGGGGUUAACCUGAGGGGAGAUUUCACAGGAAAACAGACUCGUGGCUUCUCUGGAAAAUCUGGUAAAAUUGAGCCUCCUUCCCACUUCCUCCAGAGUGAUUCUGCAUGUGCCCGGGAAGGUAUUUCAGAUCAGGAGGAGAUGUGUUACUGGCCUCUGGCCGUGGGGGAUCCCUGAGGGGCUGUGAGGAUUUGCUGAGGGCCUCUCAGGGGAGUAAGAGGGUCAUCAUGAGAGAAGACAGGGCAGGGUUUUCCUGGGCCUGUAGUAUCAGAAGUAAGAGUCAAGCCCAGAGCCCCUUCCUUGGGCAUCCACCACCCAGUGUGAGCCAGCCCCUGCUGGGGUGGGGGAGCAGCCCCAUGGAGAUAGCUAAUGCUGUCAUGAUGCAAUCUGGUAGCAGUCUUGCUGUGUAAUAAGGAAGCCAAAGCAGCUGAGUGCCGGAAGACAGGUCAGGGGGGUUCCGAGGAGGCAGUCUUUGAGCUGAACUUCAAAGGUUGAGCAGGAUUUUGCCAGAGCUAAGGGGUGAUGAUGUUUUAAGUAGAAUUGUAUAGUCAGAGGUUUAGUAGCUUUAAAGUACAUGACUUGAUUGUGGGUGAAUGCUUUCUCAGGGUGGAGUGGCCUCACUGUUCUCAGUGUGGCCUUGGGCAAAUCAUUUCACUCCUUAGGCCUCGGAUCCUCACCCAUAAAAUAAGGCCUUCCAAUGAAGACUGGAUGGUAGUGCAUUUAAAAAUUCUGGAUCCCCUUAGACCAGAGGGGAUUAUGGAGACAUGCAGCAAAAUGACUGACAGGGCUGUGUGCGAAUUAAAUGGUAUGAAGUGAAGGUUAGGGUAGGUCUGGGCCUGAGUUCAGAGAUGAGGGAGUUCAGUACAAAAUGGAGACCCCAGAGCUUCCUGUAAGAGGUGAGAUGAGAACAGAGCCCCAAGGACAGAGAAGAAGAAUAGACUGAUAGAAAGGAAGAGGGGGGGUAUCUCAGGCAGGGAAGGUCAGCGGGUGCACCAUCAUGGUUGUGGGAGAAGGACUGGGGAGAGGUGAGCCUGAAAGGGUGGGGGAAGUUUGUUAAUUAUAGCCCGAAAGGCAGGCAGCAGGGAGCCAUUGCAGGUUCUGUCCCUACAGAGGCAAGCAGGAGGGUGGUUUUAACAAUGUAGCAUCUUCCAAUGAGGGAAAGAUUUUCUAGUUGCUUUUACAUAGUGGGAAAAAUAGAAGGUUGGGAGGGAUAUAGGAGAAGGGAGAGUUGAUGAUAAGGAAGUGGGUUAGAGAAAGGUAUCAUCGUGUACUUUCCCAUUCAUUCUCAAGCACGCCUAGUUUUAACUGAUGGAUAGAGUUUGGCAGGUAACAUCUGUAGUACUGCAUCACGAACUUGAUCUCCUGUGCUUAGACAUCUGCAAACCACCCUUGGGUACCAUCUUCGUUGCAUUGCUGGCUGCACAUCCACAGUGCUGUAACAGAUUGUUGCUGGUCUAAACAACACUUGGAUAAGCAUCUCUGUUCCCCAAACCUCCUUCUGGAUUGUUUCCAUUGGAUACCUUUCCUGAAGGGAGAUUUUCUGACUUUAAGGGAACUGAUGUUUUAAUGCCUUUUUUUAAAGUAUGUUUUUUAAGUUGUUAAUGUUUACUUUUGAGAGAGAGUGACAGAGAGAGAGAAUGUGAACAGGGGAGGGGCAGACAGAGAGGAAGACAGAAUUUGAAGCAGGUUCCAGGCUCUGAGCUGUCAGCACAGAGCCUGACGUUGGGCUCGAACUCGGACUGUGAGAUCGUGACCUGAGCUGAAGUCAGACGCUUAACCAACUGAGCCACCCAGGCGCCCCUGUUUUAAUGCUUUACAAGAUUUAAAACAUACCUUUACAGUAAUUUUCUUCACGAUUUUCUAUAGGCUAUACUGUACAUGUUUUUUUCUCUUUAUUGUUAUUUUUUCAUCAUGAAGAGUGUACUCUUUAACCCCCAUACCCUAUUUCACCCAUCUUCCUCCCCAAAUUGUACAGGGUUUUUUAAAAAGAGCAAAUGUACACAAGCAUAUACAAUAAAAAGUCUGUCCUCCUGACCCCA